rnacentral:rRNA from 1 species
AUUGAACGCUGGCGGCAGGCCUAACACAUGCAAGUCGAACGAGUGGCGGACGGGUGAGUAAUGUCUGGGAAACUGCCUGAUGGAGGGGGAUAACUACUGGAAACGGUAGCUAAUACCGCAUACCAUCGGAUGUGCCCAGAUGGGAUUAGCUAGUAGGUGGGUUAAAGGCUAACCUAGGCGACGAUCCCUAGCUGGUCUGAGAGAAUGACCAGCCACAAUGGAACUGAGAAACGGGCCAGACUCGUACGGGAGGCAGCAGUGGGGAAUAUUGCACAAGGGGCGCAAGCCUGAUGCAGCAAUGCCGAGUGGAUGAAGAAGGCCUUCGUGUUGUAAAGUACUUUCAGCGGGGAGGCGUUACCCGCAGAAGAAGCACCGGCUAACUCCGUGCCAGCAGCCGCGGUAAUAC